GACGAACGCUGGCGGCGUGCUUAACACAUGCAAGUCGAACGAAGUGGCGAACGGGUGAGUAAUACGUGGGUAACCUGCCCUCAUUGUUGGGAUAAGCCUUGGAAACGGGGUCUAAAACCGAAUAAAGGGGGAGGGGCUCGCGGGCUAUCAGCUUGUUGGUGGGGUGAUGGCCUAACAAGGCGGUGACGGGUAGCCGGCCUGAGAGGGUGACCGGCCACAUUGGGACUGAGAUACGUCCCAGACUCCUACGGGAGUCAGCAGUGGGGAAUAUUGCACAAUGGGCGCAAGCCUGAUGCAGCCAUGCCGCGUGUGUGAAGAAGGCCUUCGGGUUGUAAAGCACUUUCAGCGGGGAGGCGUUACCCGCAGAAGAAGCACCGGCUAACUCCGUGCCAGCAGCCGCGGUAAUAC
rnacentral:rRNA from 1 species